UUCGCCCUUUAACGCGUUAGCUCCGAAAGCCACGGCUUAAGGCCACAACCUCCAAGUAGACAUCGUUUACGGCGUGGACUACCAGGGUAUCUAAUCCUGUUUGCUCCCCACGCUUUCGCAUCUGAGUGUCAGUAUCUGUCCAGGGGGCCGCCUUCGCCACUGGUAUUCCUUCAGAUCUCUACGCAUUUCACCGCUACACCUGAAAUUCUACCCCCCUCUACAGUACUCUAGUGUGCCAGUUUCAAAUGCUAUUCCGAGGUUGAGCCCCGGGCUUUCACAUCUGACUUAACACACCACCUGCAUGCGCUUUACGCCCAGUAAUUCCGAUUAACGCUCGCACCCUCCGUAUUACCGCGGCUGCUGGCACGGAGUUAGCCGGUGCUUCUUCUGCAGCUAACGUCAAACGAAUACGCUAUUAACGCAUCCGCCUUCCUCACUGCUGAAAGUACUUUACAACCCGAAGGCCUUCUUCAUACACGCGGCAUGGCUGCAUCAGGCUUGCGCCCAUUGUGCAAUAUUCCCCACUGCUGCCUCCCGUAG
rnacentral:rRNA from 1 species